GGUAGGUCGGAAUUAAGGCACCCCCUCAGGAUCUAAGUAUUUAUCUCUGUUUAUCGAGAGAUGCUGUUUUCCCUAGCGUCGCCAAAGAAAGGUACUUCGUAUAGGUCCGUUUCAAAUAGUGUAUUACCACUGUGACAACAUUUUAUACCCCAAAAUAGGAAUCUUGCGUCUUGUUUAGACCCGCUACGGUAGAAAUAACGCAGUGCCAGAUCGCCGCCGUGUAUAUACGUUACGUACUAGCGAGCGCGCACGAAAAUACCACCCGAGUAGAGUAGGUUAUCACAACCCUUUAGAAAGACACAAAGAAAACAAAAACGACAGAUUUGCAUUAAGAAAGGGAAAUUUAUGCCGGACUUGGCCGGACACGAAAGCCGAUCCUCGCCCGCUAGGUUUACGUUGACCAGUGCACUACGUGCACGGGGAAUUCCCGGUUUGUACCACACGGGGUCUCCUUGUUUGUAUCGCACGGGCCACGCUCAAACUUUUCUGGAAUUGACCAAUCAGAGCUCGUUAAAACCAUUUGCUCUCUUCACGCGUCCUUUCCACAAGCAGGACGCUCAUUUACAUGCUCAUUUAGCCAAUGACUGGUGAGAGCAGUCAGCGUCAGGAUUCAGUCGACCACAGGACCCCAGUUGCCCAGGCCGGCGGGCGUGGAGAUACGUAGCCCCUUUGCCUUCUCUCAACCAGGGAUACAGACAUAAAAAGUUGCAAUACCAUGUGCCUUAGCUAGUGCGCAAGCUCUAGCCGGCAGUUGCAGUGCUAUAGCCGGGACAAUCACAUAUGCCAGAAGCCGUGGUCACAGCUGACUCAAGCCUCCCGGUCACAGAGCUGAUCAUGACAACUGACUCCAGUCUCCUUUGUGUAAAAUUGUGUUUCGAUAUUGUUGAUGAUGGUAGAAGAAGCAUGUUGAUAUCAUAUGUGUAUUAAGUAGUAGCAUCGUCGACAGAAAGAAGGAAACAUGGGAAGGAACCAGAUCAGUAGCAGAGCCAUCACGUGCAGGCUAUAUAAUACAUUGCUAGCCACAGUAAACCUUACACCAGUUAGAGAUUACUGGGGUGACUUACAUACGUCUGUACUACGAUGAUACAUUGCCUGUGUUUUACGGUAUCUUAGUGUAUAUAUUGUAAUGACC